rnacentral:lncRNA from 1 species
CAUUAACUUUGCUACGUAAAUAUCUGCUUCUCUGGUUGGCAAAGCACCUUGGGGCCUCAGUGAUAGGGACUACGUAAACGCAAAAGUGGCCUGGAAUGCAAAUAGCUUGGAGCUGUCUCAAAGAGCAAAGCUAUUAACCCCAGGGUUCUGGUCAAAUUCUAGCUUGGGCAAGUUUGCCAUGCAGAUUGAAAUCAGUGCCAUUUCAUCUGAAAGCAGCAUGACUCAGAGAAAGCACACCCUCUCCUGCAGUGUCCCUGUGCCUUGCUGCUGGCGGACAUUUAAUGUGCUCCAGCAUACCAGAGGCAGAGGCGCCGCGUGUAUUCAUCAUCACAAGGCCUUGAAGACCACCUCUGCCUGCAGUCCGUGCCCCAAGCCACACCUCAGGAAAGGAAGACCCUGGGGCUCCUUCAGAAAACGGUCCAUGGUCCUCUGGCCCAACUAGGACUUGGCGGUAUAAGCCAGGAGUACUCGCCAACUCCACCAACGAGGAAGUCAGCACAAGAGAUGGUUCAGUGACCAGCUCCCAUGACAAGUUACAUUGGAAUGAACCCUGUCAUCCUUGAGUUUCUCCCUCUGGCAUUUCCAAAGAAGCAGAUGAAAAUUAGGCGGGGUAGGGGGUGGAAUGUUGUUUUUCUAAGUUUCGGCGUGACGUUUAGCCCAUGUUAUUUGUUAUUACCUUCUGUUAAUUAAAAAACCAACUUUCAAAAUCCUUAAUAAAAGAAAAAAAAAC